rnacentral:rRNA from 1 species
UGGGGAAUAUUGCACAAUGGGGGAAACCCUGAUGCAGCAACGCCGCAUGAGUGAUGAAGGUUUUCGGAUCGUAAAACUCUGUCUUUGGGGAAGAUAAUGACGGUACCCAAGGGGGAAGCCACGGCUAACUACGUGCCAGCAGCCGCGGUAAUACGUAGGUGGCGAGCGUUAUCCGGAUGUACUGGGCGUAAAGGGAGCGUAGGCGGAUGAUUAAGUGGGAUGUGAAAUACCCGGGCUCAACUUGGGUGCUGCAUUCCAAACUGGUUAUCUAGAGUGCAGGAGAGGAGAGUGGAAUUCCUAGUGUAGCGGUGAAAUGCGUAGAGAUUAGGAAGAACACCAGUGGCGAAGGCGACUCUCUGGACUGUAACUGACGCGAGGCUCGAAAGCGUGGGGAGCUUACUG